rnacentral:lncRNA from 1 species
AACUUCUGAGGAGACAGUGGAGGAAGAGAAGAGCCAGUCAGAUGUGGAUUUUCAGUCCUGCGAGUCAUGUAGCAGCAGCAGUGAGAAAGGGGAAAAUGAGAGUGUCUCUAAGGGCGGCCCUGAAGACAGCACUGAGACCACCAUGCUCAUUCAGGAUGAGGAGGACCUAGAGAUGGCCAAAGACUGGCAAAAAGAGAAGAUGUGCAACAAGAGCAACAAAGCAGAUUCUGACGGAGAACCGGAUAAAGACAGAGACACGGUGUGUGAAACAGUUGACCUAAACAGCCAGGAGACCGUCAAGGUGCAGAUACACGGCAGAGCCUCAGGUGACGAUUAACACUCGGACUGUGCAGUGCUCGUGUGGCAUGCGCAGACUGUCACUUUGGAACAAGUCAUUUGUUUGUUUGUUUAUUUGUUUACUUACUAGGCAGGGCCUUAAUGUAUGCCCCUGGCUGUCCUGGAAUGUGCUGUGUAGACAAGGCUAUCCUCAAACACUUCUGGCUGCCUCUGCCUCUUGAAUGUUGGGAUUAAAGGUAUUUGCUACCACACCUGGCUUUUGGGAGUUUUAAUAGACUUGCAGUUU